rnacentral:rRNA from 1 species
CGAGUGGCGAACGGGUGAGUAACGCGUGAGGAACCUGCCUCAAAGAGGGGGACAACAGUUGGAAACGACUGCUAAUACCGCAUAAGCCCACGGGUCGGCAUCGACCAGAGGGAAAAGGAGCAAUCCGCUUUGAGAUGGCCUCGCGUCCGAUUAGCUAGUUGGUGAGGUAACGGCCCACCAAGGCGACGAUCGGUAGCCGGACUGAGAGGUUGAACGGCCACAUUGGGACUGAGACACGGCCCAA